CCUAAUGAAAAAUUUUCAUCGGGUUAAUUAAGCGUAUGCAAAUGUGCCCACUUUAUUUCAGUCAUGCUUGGGUAACGUGGUUUUAGAAAAAUUGUGAAAGAAUUUUUAUCUAAAUCUCCAUUUUGAGGUUUCCGGUUUCCCCAAAAGCGAAGAGUACGUCGUCUAGGUAAUUAUUGUAUUUUAUAGACAAGUUCCUUCGUUCUCUCGAAACGUUUACGAAAUUUUUUUUACCUAGGUACUUACAAUUCUUAUCGCACGGGUAUUUGGACUAAAAAAUGAGUCAUAUAGAGCUACAUAUCAUUCGACGUAAGUUAUCCUAAGUUGACAUUUAACGAUCAACCAAAACUUUAAAAAUACGUUCAACGGCAAAUUUUAGAUUGGUUUUCAUUCUCACUUGUAUUUAAAGUGAACCUAACGUAAAAACGCGAAAAUGAAGCUUGUAACUUUUUUGGUGAUUUGUUUAACGGUAACAUCAGCAGCUCCUUCUUUUAACUGGAUAAGGGGACAGAUAUCGUCCGUGGCCUGUAUUUGGCCUGGAACAUGUUCAGGAACAGAAGAGAUCAUAAAAUGCGAGAAUGGCAAAUGUGAAAAACAAACAAAUAAAAUACCUACGAACGGCUGACUAAUUUCAAGAACAAUUAACAUUCUGGGCAUUUGCGUGUAAAGUAUUUCAUUCUUGGAGCAUAAAAUAUGAUGAUUUA